GAAAAGGUUAGCAAGCAGGGGAAGAGUUGACAAGUAAGAUGUGCUUUUGCUCAGAGAGAGUGAUUUGCAAGGAAUGGAGCACCAAGGGGCAUGACCCUGUGUCCUUGGGUUUCUGAAGAAGACCCUCCACGGAGGCAGGCUGGACCAAACUGGUCUGACCAGGACACUCAAAGAAGACUGGUUGACUAAGUUCACCCAGAAAG